rnacentral:rRNA from 1 species
CCAAUAGCGUAUAUUAAAGUUGUUGCAGUUAAAAAGCUCGUAGUUGAACUUCGGGGUCUACCCAUUGGUCAGGCUUAAUUGUCUGUACUGGUGAGAUGGAUCUCUACCUUCUGAGGAACUUUCAUGCCAUUUAUUUGGUGUGAUGGGAAAUCAGGACUAUUACUUUGAAAAAAUUAGAGUGUUUAAAGCAGGCUAACGUCUGAAUACAUUAGCAUGGAAUAAUGAAAUAGGACGGACUGAUUCUAUUUCGUUGGUUUCUAGGAUCACCGUAAUGAUUAAUAAGGAUAGUUGGGGGCAUUAGUAUUCAAUUGUCAGAGGUGAAAUUCUUGGAUUUAUUGAAGACUAACUACUGCGAAAGCAUUUGCCAAGGAUGUUUUCAUUAAUCAAGAACGAAAGUUAGGGGAUCGAAGACGAUCAGAUACCGUCGUAGUCUUAACCAUAAACUAUGCCGACUAGGGAUCGGAAGAAGUUAAUUUUUUAAUGACUCAUUCGGCGCCUUACG